GGCACUCCAGGGUGGCCAAAAUCAGCCCCCAGAGCUCAGCAGCUCCCAAAACUCAGCUUCACCAUCCCCAGCAUCUCUGGGAUUGCACUGUGACCUUCACAGCUCAAAAAAAACCCUGCUGGAUGCUUCUCCACCUGGGCAGGGCAGAGGCUCUGGGAGGUUUCGUGGUGCCACCGCAGUGCAGUGAGCUGGAUGUCACCUGCUGCUUUAUGGUGGCUGCACCCAGGGCCAUCCCCUUCCUCAGGGCAGCUUUUCCUUGCUGGCUCUGCCUGGCAGCUGUCAUGGAGCUCCUGGAAAAGGUUUCCAAGCAGGAUUUGAAUUCCUGGAUGAUUCACACAGCAGGUUUCCCUUUUCCACGGGCGGAUGGAGGUUGGUGUGGGUUUGCCACAGGUGGCUGUGCUGCAGGGCAGGGUUUAUCUAUCUGGGUCUCCUGCCUGCCUGGGGAUUGCUUGGAUUGCUCCCAAAUCCAACGGGCACUGGCACAGGCCAGAAAGGGCUGGGAGAGGAGCUGGUGCCAGUGGGAAUUGUGUCCAGGUGUGCCCAGGGUGCCAGCAGGGAGCUGGUGCUGCAGGAGGGGAAUGGGGAAUGCCCAGCCCCAAGCUAUCCCCCUGCAUUCCCGGGGCUGGGAGCGGUGCCAGGGCAGGGAGCUGGCAGGGUGGCAAGGGCUGGCAGAGCUCUAAUUGUGCCUGCUUUUGUCUUCCAGCGGGGCCGAGUCCCUCUCCUCCGAUGAAAAAGAAUUGACAAGAGAAGAGUUAAAUUCCUCUCCAACUCUCCCUCCCUGCCUUUCCCUUGCAGAGGUGACUCCCAAUGGCAUGGAGGGAUCGUCGGGAUCGGCCGAGGAGCAGCCCGAGGGAGAAGCCAGUUCUGAAGACAGCUCCAGCAGCAGCUCAGAAGAGGAGUCAGGUGAGCAGGACACUGUGAUUUAUUUACCUGUAAUCCCUUUUUUAUGACUGAUGUUCAGUUUAAACCAGCUGCUUCUCCUGGGUAUAACCUCGCAGUUAUUAGGGAAUGCUAACUCUGAUUGCUUUCCCAUUAAAUUUUUUGGGAGCCAAUGAUUUUCUGUCAAUGAUCAAAGGGCAGGAGCUCCGAAGAGGAGUCAGGUGAGCAGAACAUUAUGAUUUAUUUUUCUGUUUGCUUUUUAAAAACUACUGUUCAGUUUAAACCAGCUGCUUCUCCUGGGUAGAACCUCGCAGUUAUUAGGGAAUGUUAGCUCUGAUUGCUUUCCCAUUAAAUUUUUUGGGAGCCAAUGAUUUUCUGUCAAUGAUCAAAGGGCAGGAGCUCUGAAGAGGAGUCAGGUGAGCAGAACAUUAUGAUUUAUUUUUCUGUUUGCUUUUCAAAAACUACUCUUCAGUUUAAACCAGCUGCUUCUCCUGGGUAGAACCUCACAGUUAUUAGGGAAUGCUAGCUCUGAUUGCUUUCCCAUUAAUUUUUUUGGGAGCCAAUGAUUUUCUGUCAAUGAUCAAAGGGCAGGAGCUCUGAAGAGGAGUCAGGUGAGCAGAACAUUGUGAUUUAUUUUUCUGUUUGCUUUUUAAAAACUACUGUUCAGUUUAAACCAGCUGCUUCUCCUGGGUAUAACCUCACAGUUAUUAGGGAAUGCUAGCUCUGAUUGCUUUCCCAUUAAUUUAUUUGGGAUGCAGUGGUUUCCUAUCCCUGAUCAAAGGGCAGCAGCUCGUGCUGCUUUCACCACGCAGACACAGCACCCCAGACACAAUACCCACGGAUAUUUUUACACCACAGCAGUUUAUCAAACACCAAGAGGCCAUAAAUUUCCUCCAAAGUUGGCAACAGAACUGGCCAAACAGGAUGGACAGGAAAAGAAUGAAAGGAAGUGUUUGCUGUCGGUGGGUUUGUGCUUCCCUGGAUCUGCUGCCAGCAGUUGUGCUGGUUUUAUGUAACACUGAUAAUUUAACAAUCCCAAUGGUUUUGCUGGGCAGAGGGGUGGGGUGGAGGAAGGCUGUGGGUCAGGGUGGUUUGUUGUGCCUGUUUCCCCCUGCCCAGGAAGGGAAGGCAGGAAGGAUUCCAGGCUGGCCCAGCCUGCAGCUCCAUCUCUUUGGGAAAAGGAGCUGCUGGAGAGCAUCCCUAGGAAAUGAGGGCUGGGAAUGAGGAGCUCCCAGAGCUGGGAGUGUUCCUGGGGCUGUUCCAGCCCUGCUGGGCUGGGGCACACAGCCAGGGCUG